ACCAGCGGCGACAGCACGUUGAAUGUACCACUUCCCCGUGGAUCACUGAAGUUAAGCAACGUUGUGCGUGAUUAGUACCUGGAUGGGUGACCAUGUGGACAAUCGCUUGCUGCUGGGU
rfam:Asian citrus Psyllid, Diaphorina citri - Florida Strain, whole genome shotgun sequence.